rnacentral:rRNA from 1 species
GCUGGCGCAGCUACCAUGCAGUCGAGCGGAACGAAGAGGUGCUUGCACCUCUGGCGUCGAGCGGCGGACGGGUGAGUAAUGCUUGGGAAUAUGCCUUAUGGUGGGGGACAACAGUUGGAAACGACUGCUAAUACCGCAUGAUGUCUACGGACCAAAGUGGGGGACCUUCGGGCCUCACGCCAUAAGAUUAGCCCAAGUGGGAUUAGCUAGUUGGUGAGGUAAUGGCUCACCAAGGCGACGAUCCCUAGCUGGUUUGAGAGGAUGAUCAGCCACACUGGGACUGAGACACGGCCCAGACUCCUACGGGAGGCAGCAGUGGGGAAUAUUGCACAAUGGGCGCAAGCCUGAUGCAGCCAUGCCGCGUGUGUGAAGAAGGCCUUCGGGUUGUAAAGCACUUUCAGUAAGGAGGAAAGGUUAAGUGUUAAUAGCACUUAGCUGUGACGUUACUUACAGAAGAAGCACCGGCUAACUCCGUGCCAGCAGCCGCGGUAAUACGGAGGGUGCGAGCGUUAAUCGGAAUUACUGGGCGUAAAGCGUACGCAGGCGGUUUGUUAAGCGAGAUGUGAAAGCCCCGGGCUCAACCUGGGAACUGCAUUUCGAACUGGCAAACUAGAGUGUGAUAGAGGGUGGUAGAAUUUCAGGUGUAGCGGUGAAAUGCGUAGAGAUCUGAAGGAAUACCGAUGGCGAAGGCAGCCACCUGGGUCAACACUGACGCUCAUGUACGAAAGCGUGGGGAGCAAACAGGAUUAGAUACCU